rnacentral:rRNA from 1 species
UACGUAGGGUGCGAGCGUUAAUCGGAAUUACUGGGCGUAAAGCGUGCGCAGGCGGUUUCUGAAGUCCGUUGUGAAAGCCCCGGGCUUAACCUGGGAAUGGCAGUGGAAACUAGGAGACUUGAAUCUGGCAGAGGGGGGUGGAAUGCCACGUGUAGCAGUGAAAUGCGUAGAGAUGUGGAGGAAUACCGAUGGCGAAGGCAGCCCCCUGGGAUAACACUGACGCUCAUGCACGAAAGCGUGGGGAGCAAACAGG